GAAUCCGUCCCUUUUGAUUUUAUUUUGUUCAUUUAAUUUGUGUUCGAUAUGGAUUUGAUUCGUUUUAUUCUUUUGGAUUGUGAGUUGGGUAACUAGGUUUUGUCACUACGGAAGCUUUAAGUUGAUUCUUAUAGGAGUGAUGGAGAUCUUUGAAUCUGGGUCUUUUCUGGAUCUCGAGUGAUGAAAAAUGACUGGAGCACAGAGGACAUUUAGUGGUUAUCUCGACUAAUGC